GGCCGACAGCGCCCGGCUCCAGGAAAAGGCCGCCAGGCUGGACUCCAGGGUCGCCGAACUCGCCGCGUCCCUCAGUCAGCGGGCACAGGAGUUGGGCGAUCUUUCUGCCGAAAACAAAAAGCUAAAAGAGUGCCAAGAUCGCGACAAGCUGACAAUAAUGCGACUGUCGUCGGAGAAGGAACAGCUGCAGUACAAACUCCGCAACAUAUCCGACGUCUGGAAGGCGGCAGGCGUUCGGACUCGUUCGAACAGCUCCCGGUCCUGCCCCGGCCCGCCGCCGCUGGUCCGAGCCGGCAGCGAGUCGCCGC